rnacentral:pre_miRNA from 1 species
GUGACUGUGGUCUGGUGCUGUGUGGAAGACUAGUGAUUUUGUUGUUUGGUAUAUAACAACAACAAGUCACAGCCGGCCUCACAGCGCGGACUCCC